rnacentral:lncRNA from 1 species
AAUUGUACAUGUUGGAGCCUUGAAGAAAAAAAAUAUAUCAACAACACGAACAAGACAGAGUUGGGGAGAACAAGACAACUUCCAUAGGAAGGUUACAGUUUAUCCAUGAAGACAAACUAGCACUGAUACAUUCAAUCAUAGGCAUUCAAAACGCCAAACUCUUCAAAUUAUCCUCAAGUGGCAUACUUAAAUAGUGAAAAAGUGUGUGGCCCACUUUAUAGUGAAGUAAAUCCAUCGGACGACCAAGACAAAGUUACAGAGAACAAGACGACCCAUAGAAAUGUUACAGUUUCUCCAUGAAGACAAACGAGCACGGAUGCGAUCAAUCAUGGACAUUCAAAACGCCAAACUCCUAAAACUAUAUAUGUACUAUUAUCACCUUCCACCAACUAGUCGUUCGAAUGAAACUCCCACAUAAAACGCAAAAAGUUAUCUUUGAUGUCCACCUUAAUUUCUAUCAAAAAUCCCAAAAUUUACAUCAUCCAGUGGGGGGCUCUUAAAACUAGCACAAUCUCAUCUUGCUUGUUUAAUUUCCUCUUUGAUAAAAUGUCUCACCAACCCUCUCGAGGCAUCUUUGUCAAAUGAGGAGAACUGAAGACUAUCAACAUCCACAUUAAUAAAUCUUAGAGAUUUAAGGUGAUUCACAAAAUGAUUGUAAACUGCCUCGUGAAUGCUAUAAACUCCCACCGAAACACCAUUCACAUCUAAUCUCCUAAUCAUGUUGCGGCACCGCUUACUUCCGAUCAAUCCAUGAACUGUUCUUUAAAAUUUGACAUAAGUUUCUU